CAUUCAAGACUAACCAACAGUGUUAUCAGAUGUAACAGCAACUCCAUGUGGACUACACUGACUUCCAGUGGAGAUGCUGUUACUUUUGAUAUCUACUGACAGAAUGUGAAGCAGCC
rnacentral:precursor_RNA from 15 species